GAAUUCCAGGUGUAGCGGUGAAAUGCGUAGAGAUCUGGAGGAAUACCGAUGGCGAAGGCAGCCAUCUGGCCUAAUACUGACACUGAGGUGCGAAAGCAUGGGGAGCAAACAGGAUUAGAUACCCUGGUAGUCCAUGCCGUAAACGAUGUCUACUAGCCGUUGGGGGAUUUGAUCCUUUAGUGGCGCAGCUAACGCGAUAAGUAGACCGCCUGGGGAGUACGGUCGCAAGACUAAAACUCAAAUGAAUUGACGGGGGCCCGCACAAGCGGUGGAGCAUGUGGUUUAAUUCGAUGCAACGCGAAGAACCUUACCUGGCCUUGACAUAGUAGAGACUUUCCAGAGAUGGAUUGGUGCCUUCGGGAAUCUACAUACAGGUGCUGCAUGGCUGUCGUCAGCUCGUGUCGUGAGAUGUUGGGUUAAGUCCCGCAACGAGCGCAACCCUUUUCCUUACUUGCCAGCAUUUCGGAUGGGAACUUUAAGGAUACUGCCAGUGACAAACUGGAGGAAGGCGGGGACGACGUCAAGUCAUCAUGGCCCUUACGGCCAGGGCUACACACGUGCUACAAUGGUCGGUACAAAGGGUUGCUACACAGCGAUGUGAUGCUAAUCUCAAAAAGCCGAUCGUAGUCCGGACCGCAGUCUGCAACUCGACUGCGUGAAGUCGGAAUCGCUAGUAAUCGCGGAUCAGAAUGCCGCGGUGAAUACGUUCCCGGGCCUUGUACACACCGCCCGUCACACCAUGGGAGUUUGU
rnacentral:rRNA from 1 species